UGACCUAUCCAUGGUCAGGAUGAAGCUAAAGUAAAAUUUAGUGGAGGUCCGAACUGAUUGUCGUUAAAAAGGCACCGGAUGAACUGUGGAUAGCGGAGAAAUUCCAAUCGAACUCGGAGAUAGCUGGUUCUCCUCGAAAUAGCUUUAGGGCUAGCCUUGAGCGAAGAUAAGUGGGGGUAGAGCACUGAAUGAUUUAGGGGCCUAACCAGGUUACCGACAUCUAUCAAACUGCGAAUACCAUUUAUUAAUACUCAGGAGUCAGACUGCGGGAGCUAAGUUCCGUGGUCAAAAGGGAAAGAGCCCAGACCGACAAUUAAGGUCCCAAAGAUAUAGUUAAGUGGAAAACGAUGUGAAUUUGCACAGACAACCAGGAUGUUGGCUCAGAAGCAGCCACUCAUUCAAAGAGUGCGUAAUAGCUCACUGGUCGAGUGAGUUUGCGCGGAAAAUUACCGGGGCUAAACUAUACACCGAAAUUGCGGAUUUGUUAUUGAAAGAUAUAGCAAGUGGUAGAGGAGCAUUCUAUAGUAGGACGAAGCUAAAGCGAGAGCAUUAGUGGACGAGGUAGAAGAGAGAAUGCUGGAAUAAGUAGCGAGAGCAAGGUGAGAAUCCUUGCCGUCGAAAGUCUAAGGUUUCCUGGGGAAGGUUCGUCCGCCCAGGGUAAGUCGGGACCUAAGGAGAGGCCGAAAGGCGUAUCUGAUGGAUAGCAGGUUGAAAUUCCUGCACUACGACCAUACUUAAAAGAUGCAAGGGACGCAGGAGAGGAAGAUAAGCGAGGAAGAGGAAAGACUCGUACCGAAAGGGAUAGUGAAAAUAUAAAGUAACGAAGUAUCAAGAAUCACACUGACGAGAAAAGCUUGUAGAGCUUGUAUGGUAGUACCCGUACCGCAAACCGACACAGGUAGAUGAGGAGAGGAUCCUAAGACGAGCGGGAGAAGCAUUGUUAAGGAACUCGGCAAAAUAACCCCGUAACUUCGGGAGAAGGGGAGCCUAAGUAACAUUAGGUCGCAGAGAAAAGGCCCAAGCAACUGUUUAACAAAAACACAGGUUUCUGCUAAAUCGAAAGAUGAAGUAUAGGAGCUGACGCCUGCCCAGUGCUGGAAGGUCAAGGGGAAGUGUAAUGAGAAAUCAGAAGCAUAGAACCAAAGCCCCAGUGAACGGCGGCCGUAACUAUAACGGUCCUAAGGUAGCGAAAUUCCUUGUCAGGUAAGUUCUGACCCGCACGAAAGGCGUAAUGAUUUGGGCACUGUCUCGACAAUGUACCCGGCGAAAUUGUAGUACUAGUGAAGAUGCUAGUUACCUGCGACAAGACAGAAAGACCCCAUGGAGCUUUACUGCAGUUUGAUACUGGGUUUCGAUAAGUUAUGUACAGGAUAGGUGGGAGACUGAGAAAGAAAGGCGUCAGCUUUUCCGGAGUCACCGUUGGGAUACCACCCUUAAUUUGUUGGAAUUCUAACUAGUGGUCAUGAUCUGGCCAGAGGACAAUGUCAGACGGGCAGUUUGACUGGGGCGGUCGCCUCCAAAAGAGUAACGGAGGCGCCCAAAGGUUCCCUCAGUGCGGACAGAAAUCGCACGAAAGAGUGUAAAGGCAGAAGGGAGCUUAACUGGAAGAUAGACAUAUCGAGCAGAUACGAAAGUAGGGCUUAGUGAUCCGGUGGAAAUUGAAUGGAAAAGCCAUCGCUCAACGGACAAAAGUUACCCUGGGGAUAACAGGCUUAUCUCCCCCAAGAGUUCACAUCGACGGGGAGGUUUGGCACCUCGAUGUCGGCUCAUCGCAUCCUGGAGCGGAAGUACGUUCCAAGGGUUGGGCUGUUCGCCCAUUAAAGCGGUACGCGAGCUGGGUUCAGAACGUCGUGAGACAGUUCGGUCCUUAUCUGUCGCAGGCGUAGGAUAUUUGAAGGGAGCUGUCCUUAGUACGAGAGGACCAGGAUGGACAUACCGAUGGUGUAUCAGUUGUCACACCAGUGGCACGGCUGAGUAGCUAAGUAUGGAAGGGAUAAACGCUGAAAGCAUCUAAGUGUGAAGCCCACCUUAAGAUAAGAUAUCCCAUUGC
rnacentral:rRNA from 1 species